AUUUACCGACAAGCUCAUCUUGUCAGCCAACGUAUACAGUGUUAUAACCUUAAUUACCUAGAAGAUCAGAGGUGCCAUGCAAGGUUACGAAGUAAAUAGGCGUCAUGAUCGGGAUUUUUGGCGUUCACGACGAGAUUUUUUAAAGGGCUACAACUUCACUAAGAUAGAUGAUGGUUUAAAGGGAAAGAUGAAGAGGUCGAUGAAAGAGGUCAAGCGAUCAGCUAGUGGAGUGGUCGGAGGAAUUUGUGACGAUAUGACCAAAA